rnacentral:rRNA from 1 species
CGUGUAGGUGGUUUGGUAAGUAGAGCGUGAAAGCUCCUGGCUCAACUGGGAGAGGUCGUUCUAAACUGCCGGACUAGAGGAUGGUAGAGGGAGGUGGAAUUCCGGGUGUAGCGGUGGAAUGCGCAGAUAUCCGGAGGAACACCAGUGGCGAAGGCGGCCUCCUGGACCACUCCUGACACUCAGACGCGAAAGCUAGGGUAAGGCAAACG